UUCAAAGGGAAGUGCAACUUUUGCCAUAAGAUUGGCCACAAGCAAGCUGAUUGCUUCAAAUUUAAAAAUUGGCUAGAGAAGAAAAAGAAAGGAGAUGACAAACAGAAGGAAGCCGUCAAAGCAUGAAGAAUGUGUGUAUAUGGGUGACGGAAGCAAAGUGAAAGUGGAAUUUUUUGGCAUGAUAAAGCUGAAGUUGAUCACAGAAAGUUUUUUGUUGUUACACAAUGUGGCUUUCAUACCCUCACUUAGGAGGAAUCUGAUUUCUGUAUCUUCUUUGGAUAGACAUGGUUA